rnacentral:tRNA from 1 species
GCUGCGGUUGCUCAGUGGUAGAGCACUACCUUGGUAAGGGAGAGGUCGAGAGUUCAAUCCUCUCUCGCAGCACCA